UACGGAGGGUGCGAGCGUUAAUCGGAAUUACUGGGCGUAAAGCGCACGCAGGCGGUUUGUUAAGCUAGAUGUGAAAGCUCCGGGCUCAACCUGGGAUGGUCAUUUAGAACUGGCAGACUAGAGUCUUGGAGAGGGGAGUGGAAUUCCAGGUGUAGCGGUGAAAUGCGUAGAUAUCUGGAGGAACAUCAGUGGCGAAGGCGACUCCCUGGCCAAAGACUGACGCUCAUGUGCGAAAGUGUGGGUAGCGAACAGG
rnacentral:rRNA from 1 species